rnacentral:tRNA from 1 species
GGGAGUGUCGCCUAAUGGAUAAGGCAACCGUCUUCUAAACGGUUUUAUGUAGGUACCUUGCCUUAAGCCGCUGCGCGUCUACAAAUCCUGUCACUCCUG